GAUGAACGCUGGCGGCGUGCCUAAUACAUGCAAGUCGAGCGAACGGACGAGAAUCUUGCUUUUCUGAUGUUAGCGGCGGACGGGUGAGGAACACGUGGAUAACCUACAUAUAAGACUGGGAUAACUUCGGGAAACCGGAGCUAAUACCGGAUAAUCUUUUGAAACGCAUGGUUAAACAGUGAAAGACGAGCUUGCUGUCACUUAUAGAUGGAACCGCGCUGCAUUAGCUAGUUGGUAAGGUAACGGCUUACCAAGGCAACGAUGCAUAGCCGACCUGAGAGGGUGAUCGGCCACACUGGAACUGAGACACGGUCCAGACUCCUACGGGAGGCAGCAGUAGGGAAUGUUCCGCAAUGGGCGAAAGCCUGACGGAGCAACGCCGCGUGAGUGAUGAAGGUCUUCGGAUCGUAAAACUCUGUUAUUAGGGAAGAACAUAUGUGUAAGUAACUGUGCACAUCUUGACGGUACCUACUCAGAAAGCCACGGCUAACUACGUG
rnacentral:rRNA from 1 species